UACGGGGGGGGGCAAGCGUUGUUCGGAAUUACUGGGCGUAAAGGGCGCGUAGGCGGUCUGUUAAGUCGGAUGUGAAAACUCUGGGCUCAACCCAGAGCCUGCAUCCGAAACUGGCAGGCUAGAGUUCUGGAGGGGGUAGCGGAAUUCCUGGUGUAGCGGUGAAAUGCGCAGAUAUCAGGAGGAACACCGGUGGCGAAGGCGGGUCUCUGGGCAACAACUGACGCUGAGGAGCGAAAGCGUGGGGAGCGAACAGG
rnacentral:rRNA from 1 species